rnacentral:rRNA from 1 species
UACAGAGGUCUCAAGCGUUGUUCGGAUUCAUUGGGCGUAAAGAGCUCGUAGGCGGUUUGUCGCGUCUGCUGUGAAAACUCGAGGCUCAACCUCGGGCUUGCAGUGGGCACGGGCAGACUAGAGUGCGGUAGGGGAGACUGGAAUUCCUGGUGUAGCGGUGGAAUGCGCAGAUAUCAGGAGGAACACCGAUGGCGAAGGCAGGUCUCUGGGCCGCAACUGACGCUGAGGAGCGAAAGCAUGGGGAGCGAACAGG